GGUUUUGCGCAAUGGCAGUAUCGUAGCCAACGAGGUUAAUCCAAGGCAUGAUUAUUGCUAAUUGAAAACUUUUCUCUGAUUUUAAAAAAACAAACCAACCCAAAAUCCACUUUUUUGUUUCAUUGUCAUAGUGGGGGGGGAGCAGAUUUUUGUUUUUUUUAAUUAAAG
rnacentral:snRNA from 1 species